GACGAACGCUGGCGGCGUGCUUAACACAUGCAAGUCGAACGGAAAGGCUCCAGCUUGCUGGAGUACUCGAGUGGCGAACGGGUGAGUAACACGUGGGUAAUCUGCCCUGCACUCUGGGAUAAGCCUGGGAAACUGGGUCUAAUACUGGAUAUGACCUUUCUCCUUAUGGGGUUUGGUGGAAAGUUUUUCGGUGUAGGAUGAGCCCGCGGCCUAUCAGCUUGUUGGUGGGGUGAUGGCCUACCAAGGCGACGACGGGUAGCCGGCCUGAGAGGGUGAUCGGCCACAUUGGGACUGAGAUACGGCCCAGACUCCUACGGGAGGCAGCAGUGGGGAAUAUUGCACAAUGGGCGGAAGCCUGAUGCAGCGACGCCGCGUGAGGGAUGACGGCCUUCGGGUUGUAAACCUCUUUCGGCAGGGACGAAGCGUAAGUGACGGUACCUGCAGAAGAAGCACCGGCUAACUACGUG
rnacentral:rRNA from 1 species